UACGUAGGUGGCGAGCGUUGUCCGGAAUUACUGGGUGUAAAGGGCGUGUAGGCGGGGAAACAAGUCAGAUGUGAAAUUCUGGGGCUCAACCCCAGCGCUGCAUCUGAAACUGUAUCUCUUGAGUGCUGGAGAGGAAAGCGGAAUUCCUAGUGUAGCGGUGAAAUGCGUAGAUAUUAGGAGGAACACCAGUGGCGAAGGCGGCUUUCUGGACAGUAACUGACGCUGAGGCGCGAAAGCGUGGGGAG
rnacentral:rRNA from 1 species